UUUGUUUAUAAAAAAGAAAUAAAUACUUUUAAAAUAGAACACACCGUCUUAUUAAGAUGGUUUGUUAUUACUAAAGAUAAACCCACCGUGGUACGUGUAAUUACUUUCAUUGAAAUGCGAUGUAUUGCUUUUAAUUUGCUGACGUACAUUCGCAUAAAAUUUCGUAGAAACGGUGCUACACUUAUCUGACUUAUGUACUAGGUGAACUUUAUGUUCGAAAGUGAACUUUUUGCCACAACAACGAAUGAUGAAAAUUAUGGGCCAGGUGGUCAUCAUUUAUUCCUUUAACACCUGCUGUAAUUUCUUUAUUUAAAGAGCUGAUACCUCGGAAGUCUAACAGAACAGAUAUAUGCAUCACUCAAGAAAAGUUAGUUUAUAAUUUGUUCACAAAGCAAGUAGGAUGAACAAAGCAGUUGUGUGUCUUCUUAUGAGCCUCUACUUGUUAAGUUAUGUUGAUAUGACAACAGGUAACAGCAAAUACAGUGGAACUUUUGAGAAACAAAUUGCAUCAUCUGGUGGCGCCAAGCAUUUUAAUGUUCAUUAUAAGAAGUGCUACACUUCUAUUCCCUCCUCAGUUCAACUUACUUUAACCACUUAUCCCAUUCAUCUUAGUUUUGAAGGUUUCGGUCUUGUAUGUGCUUAAAACUUUCUUUGUUGUAAAGUUGGAAAGGCGGGGUCAUCCAGAUCGAGGGUGGAAAAACGCUAACUUUGUUGUAGAUUGGGUGGCUUGUUUUGAUUCAGUGGGAAACUGUGUGUAGAACCCGACAGAAAAUAAGUCAACCUAGAGUUCAUAGGGACCCAAUGAAGUUAUUUUAUAUAAUGCAUGUGAAUAAGUUUUAUUUAAACUCUGGUGUUUUAAGUUCAUCCCUUAAAAUUCUAAUAAAUGAUCUGUCUUUUG